GUGAGGAGCGGGGCUUGCCGGGGGGCGGGGAAGCGAGGGGGGGCGCCGCCCCACCCCCUUCUCCGGAAUCCCCACGCCGUGAAGUCAUAAUCCUGUGUCUGUGACACCCUGUCGGUUGCUAUGGAAACGACUCGCUGUUAAACACUGGCGUUCUCAAUGAGGGUUGCAGGGGUUCCGAGGCGGACCUGGGGAGCAGAAACCCCUGUUUAGGAUGAACCGUGGCGGGCGCCGAUGGCCUCUUGGAAGAGGACAGACUAGCAGCUGCGAGGGAGAUGGGACUGGGUUUCACCCCUGAAAGGGCCCCUGGAGACAGCGGGCGAGGGACAGGGGAAGGGGCUGGUGGUCCUCUCUCCCGAGGCCCCGCACCAUCACACGGAUGACUUGGCAGAAUAGCUGCUGGGCCAGUGUUGUCGCCUGUGACUGUACUUUAGGGAAACUGACAGGGAGAUCAUGAUGUCGUCAUUUUGAUGGGGUCCCCAGAGGAGAGAUGUCCUCCCCAACGGCUCCUGGACAGGACUGGGGAAAGAGUUCAGAUAAGUAUCUCUGUGGUCUGGGCUGUCACCUUACAACUGCACAACUCUGGACCUCCAGCAUCAGAACCACUGGGGCCUAGGUUAAUAAUACAGAUUUCCAGGCUCCAAUUUGGACAGACGAAACUGAUCUCUGGGGUGGGACCCAGGAAUCUACGUGUAAACAAGUACCCAGGGGAGUUCUGCUCACUGAAAUUUGAGAAUCCCUGAUUUAGAAGGAGGACUAUGCUCUGUGCAUGUUCUCUGAAAUGUUGGGUCAAUCAGGACCUGUCUACUGAAACUGCUCCAACCAGCCAAGGUGCAGAGAAAAGAUGCGUGCAGGGCCCGAAAACCAGUGUGCUCUGGAGGCAGGGAGCCCUGGAGAAUGUAAAGCCUGCAAGCUGUUACAGAGUGAUUUGCACAGAACAGACACUCAGUUGAUAUUUGUCAAUUUGCUGUGUUUAAGAACAUUGCUGAAUUAAUUUAAAAGGUAUUUUUAAAAGAAUGAAAUUGAGGAAAAAACCUUCAAGGUUCAGAAAAUGUGAAGUUCUCAUUUACUUGUUUAUGAAAUUGUUUUUGAGUCCAAUAAAGAUGCUCAGCUAAAAUGAUUUUUUUGUUUUAAAUCUCAGAAUUAAGUUUCUUUUAGUUUUGGGCAGUUUGGUCCAGCUACUUGCAAAAGACAGGCUUCCAUAUCUCCUGUAUGCAGCCCUGAAGGACCCAACAGAAGUAAAAUAGUUAUUUAAGGAAUGCAAAGGACUAGGGACAGGAUGCAGAUUAAAAUGUUUAAGAUGAUGUCUGCAGAUGAUGUUUGUAGAUGCUUAAGUUUGUUGAAUUCUUAGUCUUCCUCACAAAGCAGCUAAUUACUUUCAAGACUCUAGUGAGCCUCAAUUUACUCCAAUUUAUGAUUUCCAAUGGUUCUGCAUAAAACUGGGUUGCCGUUUUAUGAAAUUGUUUGCAUCUGCUUGACGUGGGUGCAAACUUCACAGUGAGGAGAUAAUGUGAGGGUUUUGCCUUCUUGCAAAACAACUUACAUAUAUAUGUGAAAAAACUGGGGUUGGGGUUUGAAUUAUGUGGACUGCCUGUGCGUAGUAAGCUCUCUGGUCAGUUACCUAUUUGGCUUUGUGUGGACACAGCUCUUAGGAGGGAGGGUGGGGGAAUUCCUGCUCAUUACCUAUAGUAUCUUGCAGGAGGGCUGCUGAACUCCGGAGCCUUACAACUGUUAAACUCAGGCAGAGCCCGGGAAAUGCUGCCCGGAUGGGUGACUGAUGGAGAGGGGCUACCACUCUUCCAGCUAAACUCCGCUCUGGUUGGGACCCAGCAAUUAUUUUCCAUAGCGAAGUGUUAAUAAAAUAUCUGUUACUCCCAACACAAUCUCCUGGGGGAAGGGACCUGUCUGUCUGCUUCAACUUUGGAUCCUCAGUGCCCACAUCAGGAUACCUGGCCUGAGAGCAUCCGGUGACCCAGUUUUAGGUCUCAAGGUCACUGCCAAGAAAGAGAAGCUGCUAAAGUGACACCUCUGUGCACCCACAUGACUUAACACAAAAGUUAACAGGAGCUCUUCAAAAACAAGCCUCUCAAGUGUCUGUCUCCUGUUUUCCCCGAGGACAGCAUCAGUGGCAUCAGAUAGGGGUUGGGGCUGGGUGACCUGCUGGUCCUCAGCCAUCACUGUGGCCCAGAGGUCAUUUAAGCAGCUCUCUGCUUAGCAGACAGGCAGAGGGAAUAGAUGGAAGGUACAGGUAAACACUGCAUGUGGCCACCGCGAGGACACCCCGGAGCCUGGGAAACAGACAGGGACAUCGUAAAACCAACACAUAAUGGACCAGUGCAGAGACAGGCCAAACCAGUCAGAAGAAAUAGGAUGGUGCCUAGCCCAGGGACACCUGACUUAAGGUAUUUUUGUUUGUUUGUUUUGUUUUUUGAGACAGGGGUCUCUCUCUGUCACCCAGGCUGGAGUGCAGUGGCAUACUCACUGCUCACUGCAGUCUCAACCUCCCAGGCUUAAGCGAUCCUCCCACCUCAGCCUCCUUAGUAGUAGCUGGGACUACAGGUGUGCGCCAACACAUCCAGUUCAUUUUUGUAUUUUUUUGUAGAGGUGGAGUUUCGCCAUGUUGCUCAGGCUGGUCUCGAACUGGGCUCAAGCGAUCUGCCCGCCUCGGCCUCCCAAAGUGUGGGGAUUACAGGCGUGAGCCACCACACCUCGUUGACCUAAGGUAUUAACUAAAGAAAGCAGGUGAUUCUCAGGGGGGCUAUGAAAGCAGCAUGCCUAAGGGACAGGAACGUACCAUGAAGGUGUUGUCUUUUGAGGCUCAGUCCAGGAGAAGCAGGUCUUUUAGACCCAAUGACAACGCUCCCUAGUGUGCAGGUGCGUCUCUCUGAUGACAAAAGGCAGUGUGAUUGUGAUAUUUUAUAUAUAUAGUUUUUGUUAUUGUUGUUUUGGGGACAGGUCUCACUCUGUCACCCAGACUGGAGUGCAGUGGUAAGAAUACGGCUCACUGCAGCCUCAAAAUCCCAGUUUCAAGCGAUCCUCCCACCUCAGCUUCCUGAGUAGCUGUAACUACAGGCAUGCACCACCUGGCUAAUUUUUCAAAUUUUUUUGUAGAGACUGGGUCUCACUAUGUUGCCCAGGCUAGUCUCAAAUUCCUGGGUUUAGGCAAUCCUCCUGCCUCGGCCUCCCUCAGUACUGAGGUUACAGGCGUGAGCCACUACACCAAGCCUAUAUUUUGUUUUUUGUUCACAGUUCCUGGCUUAUAACUCCCAUGGCCCUUGUUACAGUAAACACGAUCUCCCUCCCUGACAUUCUUCUACCCUCCUUUCACCUGCCCACAGCAGGACUUUAAUCUGAUUCUGGGUGUAAUCUCAUUGCAGAGAGGGUCCUGCCGGAUACCCUGGAGGAAGGAAUGCUGCACAGAGGCCGAGAAGAAUUUGAACAGACUGGCCUUGCUGGGUGUUUAUCUCUUUUUGUCCAAUCCCAUUUUGACACAGUUGUCCAUGCUCCAAUCAUGCUUAUCCAAUGAAGUUUCCAUAACAGGCCUGAGAGAACAGGGUUCAGGAGCUUCCGGACAGCUGAGCAGGUAGAGGUUCCUGGAGGGUGGUGUGCCAGGGAGGGUGUGGAAGCUCUGCCCCUUCCCCCAUACCUUGUCCUAUGCAUUCUUUCAUCUGCAUCCUUCAUUUUAUUUUAUUUUUUUUGAGACGGAGUCUUGCUCUUGUCGUCCAGGCUGGAAUGCAGUGGUGCGCGAUCUUGGCCCACUGCAACCUCCGCCUCCCGAGUUCAAGAGAUUCUCUUGCCUGAGCCUCCCGAGUAGCUGGGAUUACAGGCACCCACCACCAUCCCUGGCUAAUUUUUGUAUUUUUAGUAGAGAUGGGGUUUCACCAUGUUGGCCAGGUUAGUUUUGAACUCCUGACCUCAGGUGAUCCGCCCACCUCAGCCUCCCAAAGUGCUGAGAUUACAGGCGUGAGCCACAGUGCCUGGCCUGUAUCCUUUAUAAUAUCUUUUAUAAACAACCAAUCAGUAAAUGUGUUACUCUGACUUCUGUGAGCUGCUCUAGCAAAUUAAUCAAAUCCGCAGAAGGGUCAUGGGAACCCCAACUUGAAGCCUGUCCGUCAGAAGUUCCAGAGUCCUGGACUUGUGACUGGUGUCUGAAGUGGGCAAGUCUUGGGGACUGAGCCCCUAGCCUGUGGGAUCUGAUGCUAUCUCCACAUAGAUAGCAAUGGAAUUGAAUUGGCGGGCACCUGGCUGGUGUCUGCUGCAGAGCUCAUUGCUUGCUUAGUGGUGGAGAGAAGUCUCCCUCCACAUGUGGUCACAGCAUCUUCUGUCUGUGUUGAUUGCUUUUGAUGUUGAUCGAGAGAACAGGAAAAAGCACAUUGAAUGUCUCAAUGAUGAAGAUGACAAUAAUCUGGCUUCUAGGUUGUUAUGUGGCAGGCAACAGCUGUGCAGAUCCUAAUAAUCUACUCUGGGUGACAGUUUAACACAGGGGUUGACAAAUGUGGCCCACUUCCUAUUUUUAUAAAUAAAGUUUUAUUGAAACAUGGCCAUGCUCAUUCAUUUACAUAUCAUGCUGCUCUGCUAGAGUUGAGUGGUGGUGAUAAGACACCUAUGGUCAAUAGAGUCCUUUACAGAAGAAAGGAUUUACUGUUCGGCCCUUUACAGAAAAAGUCUGUCAUCCUGUCCUCAUUCAUUAGUAGACAACCAGCUGGUUCCUGGACUUCCUUGAGGAAAGUGCUAUAUUAAGCAGUUGUGGGUAUAAAGUCUGGGCUCCAACACUUGCUCUGUGACCUUGGGCAAGUUACUUACCUAGUCUGGGCUCAUCAUUUUCACAGGUAUAACAGGAGUAAUGACAUGGUGGGGAUGAAGUGGGAUAUUGUCUGGACCACGCUUUGCAUAGUGUCUCAUGGCUAGGAAGUACUCUAUACAAAGUAGUUACUAUUAUUAGCUAUUAUAUUUCAACUGAUGAAAGGUACAAAGAAACUCCCAGGAAGCGGGUCAUUGCUGCAUGCCGCUGUCUUUAAAGAACGCCCAGCAGUAAUCCCAUACGUAGCCAACAAGAUAUGUGGACGUCAAAAGUAAGUGCUCCUUGGGUGCAGCACACCAACAUGGCACAUAUAUACAUAUGUAACAAACCUGCACGUUGUGCAUAUGUACCCUAAAACUUAAAGUAUAAUAAUAAAAAAAUAAAAAAAAAAGUAAGUGCUCCUAUGCAACAUACCCAGUAACUUAAUGAUUCCAACUUCCUUUUCAGUUAAAGCAGUGGAUCAGAAUUUGAAAAGGAGUAAAGGUCAAGGCCAUGAGGUCUAACUAACACGGUAGCAUCAGAGCCUGGCCCAUAGUAGGCCUCCAGUGUCUACUGGCUGAAUGGAUGGAGGCUGGUUGUUUAACUGUCAAACUAUACUCUCUGAUGAUAAGACCACAGUUAGCCAGAAGAUAAAGUUUCUGCCUCCAAUAUUUUUGGGUCUUAGAA